AAACUUUAUUGAUUUUGUUGAGCAUCGCUUAUAACUGGAAGUGCAUUUAACAAAUGUUUUUAAAAAAUAUACGCCUUCAAAGUAAGCGUGCAUUGGGCCAGCCCCUGGAUAAUAUAGUCAAGGUCAAGGAUGAUAGAGUACAUGCUUACCGAAUUAGUUGCGUCGUAAGAGCCAAUGAUUAACCAAACAAAAGGAAGGGGAAUUACUUGUUUGUGAAGAUGAAGAGUAGGUGAAAGCAAUGAAACAACCAAACACAAGAAAUUAUACGCAACACACACACUUUCUUGCCACGGCGUAUUCCGCAACUUUAUAUUAAUUAGGUUAGGACAAAUUAUUGUGGCUGUAUCAUUGCUAGACUGUGGUGAAUCAUAUAACCACUGUCCUAUCAGCACUCGCUGAUGAUCGAAAAGAUGUACAAACAUUUAUUAACGCUGACCCAAAAGAAUUGGCAAUAAUUUUAAGUGGCGGUGAUUUAUAUACUGCUGCAUUGGAGCUAAUUACCGGCUUCGAAUUAUCACUCCUUCGAAUAUGGGGAAGCCGCAUUACCGAGGAAGGCGUCAAUGAAGCAUGGGCGUGGUUCAAGAAAUUGACUUGGCUGAUUUGCCUCAUCGCAAUAAAUCCGAUAUGGCCUGAUCACUGCUACAAACACUGAUUUAUGACUUUGAGGUAAAAAAUUGUACUAGCACACGUAAAUAUGUAGCAAACACGCUGCUAUGUCUCAACGCUUUUAUUCCGCAAUGGGAAUCACCACACGCAAUUUUGGGAGGUGCAACCGAAUAUUUCAAUUUUAAACAUGCGCGAUUGCGGUUAUAAGCCAGGACGUCAUACAGACCUAUAUCGAUACGGCAUAGCGCACAGCAGAGGAUAAGAUUCAAAUGGAUUAAAUAAAAUUAUAUAUAUUUUUUUCAAUUGUAUGCACUUUGGUAAAGUUUUAGAUCUUAUGUUAUAAAUAUGGAUUUUAACAAUCAAGUUUUUCUUA